rfam:Glycine soja cultivar W05 scaffold2723_2, whole genome shotgun sequence.
GCCGAGCUGGGUUGCGCCAGCUUGUCAUCCAAGUGGGGGCAUCAGAGUGAUGGAACAGUCUUCGGGCUUGCUGGGUUGGGCUCUGGCUGCAUUCUGCUGGCCUGUCCGUUCCAAGUUGUGAGUUGAGCUACGGGACUUGAGCGAAGGCCCAAGUUUCUGGGUUCCUAGACUUGAGGGCACAGCGUGAGGCUGGUUUAACAGAGCAGCGAAUACCUCAGGCUUCCAACAGUGGAGGGAUAACAGGCUGCUGCAACAGCAGUCCACAAUGGCCUGGUGAGCCCAUUUCCUUGAACCAUCACUUUU